rnacentral:lncRNA from 1 species
CACCCCUACCCCUCCCACCCCUCUGGGUUUUCGGGGAGCCCGGGUUGAGCACCCUUGCUAUACAGCAGCUUCCCACCAGCUAGCUAUUUCGCACGUGCCAGUUACGUUUCCAUGCUACUCUCUCAGUUCAUCCCACCCUCUCCUUCCCUGCUGUGUCCACAAGCCCAUACAAGUGCAGUUUUAUCUGGGGCAGAAGGAAGACUGAAUCAUGGAGACAGCGUUUCAGACAGCCCGAGAAGCUGCUCUGAGGAGGUAGGAUACAUAGAAGUCUUGCAACAAAGGACAGGUGGUUGGGAGCAUCACCAGACUGCUGAUAUUGAAUAGGCCAGAUAUCCCAAGUUAAGCAAUUUAGUGUUUUUCUCUGUACGGGAAGAUUCAAGAGUCUGGACUCACUGGAGUCAUUCCCUUGUUAUGCACCUCAGCUAACUCAGACAGGAUCCUGUAUUUCCACACCCUGGGUUUCCUCAGGGCGUGGCUGUAGUCUGACGGCUGCUGUGCUUAGUCACUCAGUCCUGUCAGGCACUUUGCAACCCUGUGGACUGGAGCCCCCCAUGCCCCUCUGUCCAUGGAAUUCUCUAGGCCAGGAUACUAGAGUGGGUGGCUGUUCCCUCCUCCAAAGGAUCUUCUCUACCCAGGGAUUGAACCCAGGGCUCCUGAAUUGCAGGCGGAUUCUUUACCCUCUGAGCCACCGGGGAGCCCCUGGCAGCUGCUGGAUUACAGUAGGACCACUGGCACAAAGGAAGAGAAACAAACACACAUUUCAUUUGCUUCAAGGAUCGAAAAUCGCUGGAGUUAGGGGAAAGCUCUGUGACACGUGUUUCGGACUCGUAUCAGUAAUUCAGACAGGAAUAAUGUACGAGAGGAGUGUGGGAGUAUAAACACUCCUUUGCCGUCUAGAAUAAAGCACUCUGUAAUAUUUCAUGAGAUACCAAGGUAACAAUUACAGCAAGUCCCCUACACAGGAACCUUCAAGUGGCGAACUUUCAAGGGUGUGAAUGUGCUUCCCCUCAGCAUCACGCAUGAGUGAUGUUGCAGCUCGCCCGCUUCUAUUCCUGAUGAGCUUCUCAUCUCCCACCCUCUCCCUCCUCCGGUCAGUGGCUCUUCUUGCCUGUUUGUUUGAUGCCAGCCCUGUGUGCCCGCAGCUGUCCUGCACUACAGUACUUUUCAAGGUACUGUACUGUAAUACUAAAAACACCUUAUUUUUUGUGUUUAUCAUAUAUUAUUUGUGAGAAAAGUGUUAUAAGCUUGUUGUAGUACAGUACUAUAUAGCUGACUGUGUUAGCUGUGUACCCAGGCUAACUUUGUUGGACUUAUGAACAAAUUGGACUUGUGGAUACACUCUUGGAACAGAAUUUGUUCAUAUGUAGGAGACGUACUGUUAUGUCUUUCCGAAGUUCUAGGAAUUGCCACACAGCUGCUAUUUUUUGUGUUUGUAAAUAUCAGUGUUUAACAUGCAUGUAUGUGUGCUAAGUGCCUUCAGUCAUGUCCGACACUUUGCGACCUUUUGGACUAUAUAGCCCACCAGGCUCCUCUGUCCGUGGACUUCUCCAUGCAGGAACACUGGAGUGGGUUGCCAUUUCCUCCUCCAGCGGAUCUUCCCCACCUAGGAACUGAGCCAGCGUCUCUUACAUCUCCUGCCUUGGCGUGUGGGUUCUUUACCACUAGCACCACUUGGGAAGUCCAGUGUUUAGCAGACUUUAAAUUUAUUUUGUUACGACAAAAAUUCAAGAGCAACAGUCAAGAAAGCAAAAUAAACAUUUAAAAAUAAAUGAAAUCACAAAGAAGCAAAAGUAAUGCAGGCUGUCAAUGCCCGAUCCGUUUAAGGGAAGAUAAGAUCCUUUCUGGGAAAUGGAGUUAGGACAAAAAGUUGAAGGAGAGCUAGGAUUCUGAUAAGCUUGGACAAGUGGCAGACAUUUCUGAUAGGAACAGAAGGAGAAGGAGAAAAGUUUCCAAAAAGAGAUCAGUGAUAAGGGACACUUUGCAAAAAGGUAAAAGCAUAGCUGUUUCACAAUUUUAAAAUGAA